GUGGGCGAGUUCCCUUUAUGGUUGGAGAGAGCAGAUUGCAUUGCUGCCUUUUCUGCACUAUUUCCAAGUUCGCAUCAGAGUCUGCCAGCUCUUCUGUUUGGACAUCUAAUCUUGCUCUUGUCUUCUGCAUUGCUUCAAGAAUCUGCUUCAAAGCUCUGAGAUCCUUUCCGGACUUCCUGAACUCGAGUUCAGUUAUCCUUUUCUCCAU
rnacentral:misc_RNA from 1 species